GCUCUCGUGUGCAAUUGUGGCCAAUCCUUUGCAGAAUCGUUAAUAUUCAGGAGAAAACAAAACCGUUUGUUGUUGGAUUAUACUUGGGAAACACCAAGCCGGGUAGUGUGAAUGUGUAUUUGAAAGACUUCAUUGAUGAAGUGAUUCUACUAAAAGGUCAGUUUAUCAUACAACAAAAACAUUUAAAAUUGAAGUUUCGUUGCUUAAUAUGUGACGCACCAGCAAAAGCUUUCGUUUGUGGAGUUCCUGGACAUACAUCAACACAUGGCUGCACCAAGUGUACUCAAAUUGCGAAGAAGGUAAACAAUGUCUUGACUUAUAGUAGCGAGAGUGGUUCCCUAAUCUCCGAUGAGGACUUUGCUGUGCGAAAGUAUCCAUGCCACCAUUCCCAAAUGUUCAAGAAAAAACUCCUCUCGAAGAAAUUGGAUUUGGUAUGAUAAAUCAGACUCCUUUAGAUAGCAUGCAUCUCAUUGACCUCGGAGUCACCAAAAAAAUGCUAACCAGAAUAAUGCAUAAUAAAACUGAAAAGAAAACCUCAAAACAAAAUAUUUCAAAAAUAUCUUCUGAAUUGGUGAAAUUUAAAAAAUACAUUCCAAGGGAAUUCCCAAGAAAACCCAGGCCUUUAGAUGAUCUUUGUCAUUGGAAAGCGACUGAAUUUCACCAGUUCCUUGCUUAUACAGGAAUUAUUGCUCUUUAUAAUAAUGUACACGAAGAUAUUUAUUAUGAAUUUUUAACUUUACAUUGUGCUUAUCGACUUCUUAACAAUGCACGACAUAUGGAUCAAAAUAUUGUUCAAGCUAAUAAUUUGCUUCAAUUAUUUGUCGAGAACUUCUCAACUGUAUUUGGUUCGAACAGCAUUUCUUUUAACGUUCAUAAUCUGCUUCAUUUGGCUUCUUGCGCAGAAAAGUAUGGUCCCCUUAUUUCGUUUUCUGCAUAUGCAUUUGAAAAUAAACUGCAAACACUGAAAAAACAUGUUCGAAAACCAUCACAUAUCUUUCAACAAAUUAUUCAAAAGGAAAAAAAUUGCAUGAUUGUCAACACUAUUCAGGAUGGGUUAAAAUAUGAAAAAGGUGUUAUCGUUGGAGCUUUUGUAAAUGAUUGCUACAUAUCCUGCAAAGAACCAGAUAAUAUUUGCGCGGUGAAUUCAUGCAUUCCAAUAAAAAUUGAUAAUAUAAAGAAAAAGGGCGAAAUAUAUAUUGAAGGCAGUCGAAUUUUGGCAUUAGAAAGUUUCUACGAAGAACCGGUGAAUUCUUGUGAGAUUGGUAUUUUCAAAACGAAUCUGACUCUAGGGGAAAAAGAGACAUUUUGUAUUAAAGACAUUCAGUUCAAAUUUGUAUGCUUGCCAAUUGAUUCUGAUUUUGUAAUCGUGCCCAUUUUACAUUCCUGCUUUCCAGAGAAAUAUCAAGCACAAAUUUUUACCUCCUAAGUACACAACUCCCGCACAUAAACAUGUCGAACGAAAAUGCCAACCCUUCCAAAGGAAAAAUGAAAUAUUUUGCUCCACAAGGUAAUCUCCAAAGAUUAUCACUAAAUUUUUAACAGUAUAACAAAAUUGAGUUCAUAUUUUUGAUAGCUAAUGCAAAAUGUUCUUCCUGCCAAGAAAAUGCCAGAAAACUAGACACGAUUAUUGAUAUUUUGGCGGAGCAUAAAGUUUUACUGGAUCGUGUUAUUUCUCAGAACGCAUUUGUGGACAAUAUUAUGACAAUUUUUCCAAUUGAAUCGGAAGAAAAACUUCGAGAAUUUGAUCGAAUUCUCGCAACACAAGCAGAUCUAUAUGUACGUAUCUGCGUUUUGGGAAUAACAAAUUCAUAACUAAAACAAUUUUUACAAUUGCAGACUCGACAAAUGAAAAAUCUCAUUGCAGGUAACGCUGAACGUAAUUUGCAUAAAGUAUUUGGAAGAAAUAUUAUUAUGGAUUUUAAUGUUGACGGAACUUUCGGGAAAAAAGGUCUACGAGAUUUUGGUAAUGUACUUGCCGCCAUAAUAGAAGUUAUAUCAACAUUUAAUAAAUUACCUGACAAGACUUUACGAGCAGCGUUCCAACGCCAAAAGAAAAAGUAUUUUAAGAUCAACAAACGAAGCAGGCGCACCGAAGAAAAGGAACAAGAUGAAAAUGAUGAAGAACCACAAAUUUAACUGAAUGUUUUUAUGUUAUACUAUAUAAUUUUAAAAUCCUAGUUCUAACACUAUUCAGUUUUAUUAAAAAUAAGACAAGGUUUGGCCAGCCUUGAAAAAAGUGAGCUAUAUAUGUAA